rnacentral:ncRNA from 12 species
UCCUGCUCCGCGAAAAGUCGCCCAGCGUGGCGGCCUGCACCUCUCCAAGUGAGAGUUCCGCUAGCGGAGUGGGUUACU